rnacentral:rRNA from 1 species
UGGGGAAUAUUGGGCAAUGGGGGAAACCCUGACCCAGCAACGCCGCGUGAAGGAAGAAGGCCUUCGGGUUGUAAACUUCUUUUACCAGGGACGAAGACGUGACGGUACCUGGAGAAAAAGCAACGGCUAACUACGUGCCAGCAGCCGCGGUAAUACGUAGGUUGCAAGCGUUGUCCAGAUUUACUGGGUGUAAAGGGCGUGUAGGCGGAGAUGCAAGUUGGGAGUGAAAUCCCGGGGCUCAACCCCGGAACUGCUUUCAAAACUGUAUCCCUUGAGUGUCGGAGAGGCAAGCGGAAUUCCUAGUGUAGCGGUGAAAUGCGUAGAUAUUAGGAGGAACACCAGUGGCGAAGGCGGCUUGCUGGACGAUAACUGACGCUGAGGCGCGAAAGCGUGGGGAGCAAACAGG